ACCAAACGGUACCGUUUGGUACGCAGACAAGACGGGAAGAAACGAGAUAGAAUAGGAUGGAACAGUGGUUCCAUGUUAUGUUUGGUAUGCGCAGGACAAAACGGGAGAGUUGUUCCGUUUUGCGUUUGAUGCGUAGGACGGAGAACGGGACCAGAAGACAAAGAAAUCGAAACAAGCUCAAUAGGGGGAGUGGAAGCAGAUAAACAGAGGCAGAUUUUUUGUUGCAGAUGCAGUAUUGGGCAUAUCAAAACACUACAAAAUACAAAGAAAUCAAAACAAGCAAAUCAGCAAAGAAUACAAAGAAAUCGAAGCACUACAAAAUACAAAGAAAUUUAGCAGAAUUAGGAACGGGGUGUUAAUGAAAUCGAAACAAGCAAAUCAGAAAAGAAUAAUAAUGCCACAUCAAAUUUACAUCAAAAUUAAUUAAA
rnacentral:lncRNA from 1 species